GCCCAGCCGCCUUGUUUAGGGUGACCCACUCCCUCCUCCAUCUAGGAACAUGGGAAGACCCCUUGCAAGAUCGAGCUGAGGAUUUUGCACAAUAUCUACACAAUAAAAUCGCUCAAAUUCAGGAAGACUUGGACUCUGACUGGGUAUUGGUCUGGACACGUUGGAACUUCCAGAAGAUAAAUGGCUGAUGGCUGAACCUGCCUCUCAGUAAGAUCUGCUAAAGUGGGCAAUGUUACCUCAGGAAGCCUGCCUUCUCUUUCUUGGCCAGUGCCUUAUGGAACAGCUCAACCUUGUUGACCAUCAAGUAUGCCUUCAAGAUCUGGCAUUUUCCCAAAGCCAGGAUGUUAAUGGAGCCGUGUGGAUGUGUUGAUAAAAGUAUAUUUAUGGAUGUUCUUUUAAUUGAUUUGUGUAUUCUGUUUUUUGUUCCACACCCAUUAAAAGUUGAGGGGCUAUAUGAGCAU